GUAAAUGCCUAUAGCAUAACGUUAAUGCAUCAGAUCCCACUAGAACUCCUCAUUUAAGCAUGCUCAUACUAGAGUAGUACUGGGAUGGGUGACCACUCAGGAAGUCCUAGUGUUUUACA
rnacentral:rRNA from 1 species